rnacentral:rRNA from 1 species
GACGUAGGGGGCGAGCGUUGUCCGGAUUUAUUGGGCGUAAAGGGCGCGUAGGCGGCUCGGUGCGUCGGCUGUGAAAACCCGCAGCUCAACUGUGGGCUUGCAGCCGAUACGGGCGGGCUGGAGUUCGGUAGGGGAGACUGGAAUUCUUGGUGUAGCGGUGAAAUGCGCAGAUAUCGGGAGGAACACCGGUGGCGAAGGCGGGUCUCUGGGCCGAUACUGACGCUGAGGAGCGAAAGCGUGGGGAGCGAACAGG